CCUGCCUCAGGGCUAAAUACCCCAAAGAGGAGGUGAGGAGAAAAGCGCGAGGCUGGAACUUCGAGGUAGUGGAAAGUGGUGUAGGCACGGCGGGUGUUAGCAGCGGGAAGCGGAGCUGCGCCUGAGGAGGGGCCCCGCGCUGCGAGCGCGGGUAUCCUGGGGCAGCUGCGACGCGAGGGAAGGAGCCGCGCUGCAGCAGGGGACGGGCGUGACGAGGGCGGAGUGGUGGGGAGGCACGGCCGCGUGCUGACCCAGUCCAAAGCAAUGGGGAGGUCACCAUGGAGGUCAGUCUGCAGUGCUCCUGAGAUGUCAGUUAGCAGAUGUUGCACCUAGUGAUCCUCCCUGCACUCCUGUGACGAACUGCUUUUCAGCCUAAUUGGAAGUAUUUAGGCCCAAAACUUGUUGCCAUUACUACAAAAUCAUUCAGGAAGCUUGACAAUCUCCAUGGCAACUGGCCUACGUA
rnacentral:lncRNA from 1 species